rnacentral:snRNA from 1 species
AUACUUGCUCAGUGGGGGCAAUACCACGAUCACAAAAGUGGUUUUCCCAGGGUGAGGCUCGUCCAUUGCAGUCAGGAUGUGCUGACCCCAGUGAUUUCCCCAAAUGUGGGAGACUCACCUGCAUGAUUUAUGGUAGUGGGGGACUGUUCGUGUUCUCCCCUG